GUACUCUUGACAGCAAAGAUCUUCGGCCCUUCAAAGGUGCCCUGAGCCACUAUGUAAGUUGUCUGCUUACUCCACAAAGACACCACAAGGCAAGAUCACAUGUUGAGCACAGGUGAGGAGCCAGAGGACCUCAGACUGGAUGGACAGGGGGAGUGAAGCCAUACCAGCACUCAGGUCUGAGCUCAGCCUUCCAGCACUCCUGUCAAGGCAUCUGUCAAGCCACAGGUGUACUUAGUCACAUCCUGAGGAAGGAUUCCCAGAAGAGAUGUCCUGACCAGGAAAUAAAGUCUCAGAGAUACUGGAGAAGAUGGUCUUUAAGGUUAUUUCCAGCUCCAAAAUGUUAUUAUCUAGAGUCCAUUAUAAAAUGGCCUCUCUUAGUACUAUGAGAUCUGUAAUACAAGAAGGAGAGCAAAUACACAAAGAAGUUUCCGGUGGAUAUCCAAACCUCUCCUAUAGCCUGCACUCAAUUCUACUCACCGUGAAUAGUGGCUUUUGCUUUGAACCACCUAAGUACUUUUGACCCCCUAUUUUAAUCAAUGCCUUGAAUUGAAAAGAAGGUGUCAGACAGUCUCCAGUCAUUGAGGAUGGUAAACAAAACCCUUAUCAUGACUUAAUGGUGUGAGACCUCAGCAAAAAUUUCAUAUAAGCUAAAUUUUUCUCUUGUAUAUCUUCUUAUAUCGGUCACAUAAAAGCCUCUCUCCAAUGACUCUGGUCGCUCAAUUUGAAAAUGGUCUCAGUUGUCUUUUCGUUCUUGAACUAAUGAAAAUAAAAGUGAAAGAAGCAUAACAUUAUUCAACCUCA